GACGAACGCUGUUUGCGUGCUUAACACAUGCAAGUCGAACGGAAAGGCCCUGCUUUUGUGGGGUGCUCGAGUGGCGAACGGGUGAGUAACACGUGAGUAACCUGCCCUUGACUUUGGGAUAACUUCAGGAAACUGGGGCUAAUACCGGAUAGGAGCUCCUGCUGCAUGGUGGGGGUUGGAAAGUUUCGGCGGUUGGGGAUGGACUCGCGGCUUAUCAGCUUGUUGGUGGGGUAGUGGCUUACCAAGGCUUUGACGGGUAGCCGGCCUGAGAGGGUGACCGGCCACAUUGGGACUGAGAUACGGCCCAGACUCCUACGGGAGGCAGCAGUGGGGAAUAUAGCACAAUGGGCGGAAGCCUGAUGCAGCAACGCCGCGUGCGGGAUGACGGCCUUCGGGUUGUAAACCGCUUUCGCCUGUGGCGAAGCGUGAGUGACGGUAAUGGGUAAAGAAGCACCGGCUAACUACGUGCCAGCAGCCGCGGUGAUACGUAGGGUGCGAGCGUUGUCCGGAUUUAUUGGGCGUAAAGGGCUCGUAGGUGGUUGAUCGCGUCGGAAGUGUAAUCUUGGGGCUUAACCCUGAGCGUGCUUUCGAUACGGGUUGACUUGAGGAAGGUAGGGGAGAAUGGAAUUCCUGGUGGAGCGGUGGAAUGCGCAGAUAUCAGGAGGAACACCAGUGGGCGAAGGCGGUUCUCUGGGCCUUUCCUGACGCUGAGGAGCGAAAGCGUGGGGAGCGAACAGGCUUAGAUACCCUGGUAGUCCACGCUGUAAACGGUGGGUACUAGGUGUGGGGUCCAUUCCACGGGUUCCGUGCCGUAGCUAACGCUUUAAGUACCCCGCCUGGGGAGUACGGCCGCAAGGCUAAAACUCAAAGGAAUUGACGGGGCCCCGCACAAGCGGCGGAGCAUGCGGAUUAAUUCGAUGCAACGCGUAGAACCUUACCUGGGUUUGACAUGGAUCGGGAGUGCUCAGAGAUGGGUGUGCCUCUUUUGGGGUCGGUUCACAGGUGGUGCAUGGCUGUCGUCAGCUCGUGUCGUGAGAUGUUGGGUUAAGUCCCGCAACGAGCGCAACCCUUGUUCACUGUUGCCAGCACGUUAUGGUGGGGACUCAGUGGAGACCGCCGGGGUCAACUCGGAGGAAGGUGGGGAUGACGUCAAGUCAUCAUGCCCCUUAUGUCCAGGGCUUCACGCAUGCUACAAUGGCUGGUACAGAGAGUGGCGAGCCUGUGAGGGUGAGCGAAUCUCGGAAAGCCGGUCUCAGUUCGGAUUGGGGUCUGCAACUCGACCUCAUGAAGUCGGAGUCGCUAGUAAUCGCAGAUCAGCAACGCUGCGGUGAAUACGUUCCCGGG
rnacentral:rRNA from 1 species